ensembl:lncRNA
CAAAAGGGCUCCAGUGCCGCUGGUACAAAUUCAAAGCGAUGGUUGGAUUCAUCAGCGACUCCAGAUGUGCCAAAUGUCCUCUUCCGAAUCACCAGUAAAUCCACUCCUCCCUCUGCUGAUCAUAAGGUGAGAGUGUGUCAGACUGAUUUGGCUUUAAUUGAUCCGAUGGUAAAUUUCUGAUCUGUCAUGCCCAAUUAUUCC